rnacentral:tRNA from 1 species
GGAGGGGUGGCAGAGUGGACGAUUGCACUAGUCUUGAAAACUGGCGUGGGAGAAAUCCUACCGAGGGUUCGAAUCCCUCCCCCUCCG